UGGCGGGCGGAGCCGGGGGAAGAGUCGCCGCCUCAGCCGCCGCUUCAGCAGCAGCCGCCAGUGCGAAGACCCCCCGAGCUGGCGGGGCAGCGCUGGGCAUGCGUGCCGGGCGGCGGAGGUGCUGACAACGAGCCUGAAGCGGCAGCCACGCGGGCGUGGGCGGCUGGUCCAGGCGGAGGCUCUGGGAGGCGGCGGCGGGGCGCGUGGGGCUGCCCUCCUGGCUCAGCAUUAUGGAUCCAAGUCUUUUGAGAGAACGGGAGCUGUUCAAAAAACGAGCUCUUUCCACUCCUGUAGUAGAAAAACGUUCUGUGUCUUCGGAGCCAUCAUCAUCAAAGAAGAAAAAAGCAAAGCUAGAACAUGGAGGAUCAUCGGGCUCUAAACAAAAUUCUGAUCAUAGCAAUGGAUCAUUUAAUUUGAAAGCUCUGUCAGGAAGCUCUGGAUAUAAGUUUGGCGUUCUGGCUAAGAUUGUGAAUUACAUGAAGACACGACAUCAGCGAGGAGAUACACAUCCUCUUACUUUAGAAGAAAUUUUGGAUGAAACGCAACAUUUAGAUAUUGGACUCAAGCAGAAGCAAUGGCUAAUGAGUGAGGCACUAGUCAAUAAUCCCAAAAUUGAAGUAGUAGAUGGAAAGUAUGCCUUUAAGCCCAAGUACAACUUGAAAGAUAAGAAGGCUCUGCUUAGGCUCUUGGAUCAGCAUGACCAGAGAGGCUUAGGAGGGAUUCUUCUAGAAGACAUCGAGGAAGGAUUGCCCAAUUCCCAGAAAGCUGUCAAGGCUUUAGGGGACCAGAUACUAUUUGUAAACCGUCCUGAUAAGAAGAAAAUUCUUUUCUUCAAUGAUAAGAGCUGUCAGUUUUCUGUGGAUGAAGAGUUUCAGAAACUGUGGAGGAGUGUCACCGUGGAUUCAAUGGAUGAGGAGAAAAUUGAAGAGUAUCUGAAGCGACAGGGUAUUUCUUCCAUGCAGGACUCCAGACCAAAGAAAGUGGCCCCAAUUCAGAGAAGGAAAAAGCCUGCCUCACAGAAAAAGCGACGGUUUAAGACUCACAAUGAGCACUUGGCUGGGGUGCUGAAGGACUACUCUGAUAUCACUCCUGGCAAGUAGUAAACAGUUUGGUCUGAGAGCAAAGAGUUUCAAAGUCAAGAUCUUCCGUGUUGAUGCUGGCAUCUGCAGGCUGAUCAUCUUCCUGUUCUCCCACCUAGGACUGAGGAGAGGAGCAGUUCGGUUUACAGAACUAGGGCAAAUUACCAAACUCGAAGCUUGUUUUCCUUAAGGGGCUAAUGAGAAAUGUAAUGUCCCCUGUGAACCUCCUGUCACUUCUCUGGGGAACGGUGCUCAGCAUGGCGUGCAGGCAUCUUUGCUAUUUAUCGCUACUUCUAAGUGGCUCCUGGUUCCAUUUUCCCCUCUUUUAUUACUUUAGAACAAGUUUGCUGGUAGUCUUGAAUGCAAUAUUUGUUUAUUCCAAAAGAUCAUAUUUAUAAUAAAAUCAUUGUAGA